GCAUCUACUUCUCCAAUUUUGAAUAAUAUAUGCUCUCAAAUGUCAGGUGUAGCUCAACCCAUUGAAAAUAUCUUAGAUACUAACAUAAAACUUGAAAUUGAGCAAAAUAGGAAAAUUCUUAAACAAAUUGUUGAUACAGUUCUUUUUUGUGGAAGGCUUGGCAUUGGAUUACGAGGUCAUCGUGACGAUGCUCAAUUUCACCCAGAGGUCGGUUGCUAUUCAGUCAAUGGCAAUGUUGGUAAUUUUGUUGAAUCUUUAAAUUUUAGAGUUAGAGCUGGUGAUCAAACUUUGGAAAAUCAUUUGCUCAAAUGUGGCAAGAAUAAAAGUUAUAUUUCCAAGACCAGCCAAAACAAAAUCAUCAACUGUAUUGGUCAGGUAAUAUCAGAAGAUAUUAUAAACGAGAUAAAAAAAAAUAGAUAUUAUUCUAUCAUUGCAGAUGAAGCUGCUGAUUCUUCUCACAAAGAGCAAUUGUCCCUUGUUCUACGCUGCCAAUUUUAUCAACAUAUCACAGACACGCAACAUACCCUUUGCUGAGCACGUUAAAAAGUCAGAUGUUCAGACCAAGAAGGCAAAACUGGUACACUACCAAUCACCUCAUGUGAAUGUGAGAGAUCAAUUUCAGCACUGAGGAAUCUAAAAACCUACCAAAGGAGCACUAUGGUAGAGGAACGUUUAAAUGGCCUGGCUUUAAUGCGAAUUCACCCAGAAAUUAUUCCUGACAUAGAAAGAGUGAUCAAUAAGUUUGCUGAAGGUAAUACACGUUUGAAAUUUG